AUUGAACGCUGGCGGCAGGCCUAACACAUGCAAGUCGAGCGGAUGAAGGGAGCCUGCUCCUGGAUUCAGCGGCGGACGGGUGAGUAAUGCCUAGGAAUCUGCCUGGUAGUGGGGGAUAACGUCCGGAAACGGGCGCUAAUACCGCAUACGUCCUGAGGGAGAAAGUGGGGGAUCUUCGGACCUCACGCUAUCAGAUGAGCCUAGGUCGGAUUAGCUAGUUGGUGGGGUAAAGGCCUACCAAGGCGACGAUCCGUAACUGGUCUGAGAGGAUGAUCAGUCACACUGGAACUGAGACACGGUCCAGACUCCUACGGGAGGCAGCAGUGGGGAAUAUUGGACAAUGGGCGAAAGCCUGAUCCAGCCAUGCCGCGUGUGUAAAGAAGGUCUUCGGAUUGUAAAGCACUUUAAGUUGGGAGGAAGGGCAGUAAGUUAAUACCUUGCUGUUUUGACGUUACCAACAGAAUAAGCACCGGCUAACUUCGUG
rnacentral:rRNA from 1 species